rnacentral:tRNA from 1 species
GGGGCCGUCGUCUAGCUUGGAAAGGAUGCCAGCCUGGGGCGCGGCCGAAUCCCGGGUUCAAAUCCCGGCGGCCCCA